UACGUAGGGGGCAAGCGUUGUCCGGAAUCAUUGGGCGUAAAGAGCGUGUAGGCGGCCCGAUAAGUCCGCCGUGAAAGUCCAGGGCUCAACCCUGGAAUGCCGGUGGAAACUGUCGGGCUGGAGUCCGGAAGAGGCGAGUGGAAUUCCUGGUGUAGCGGUGGAAUGCGCAGAUAUCAGGAGGAACACCAAUAGCGAAGGCAGCUCGCUGGGACGUUACUGACACUGAGGCGCGAAAGCGUGGGGAGCGAACAGG
rnacentral:rRNA from 1 species